CCUACGGGGGGCAGCAGUGAGGAAUAUUGGUCAAUGGACGAGAGUCUGAACCAGCCAAGUAGCGUGAAGGAUGACUGCCCUAUGGGUUGUAAACUUCUUUUAUAUGGGAAUAAAAUGUUCCACGUGUGGGAUUUUGUAUGUACCAUAUGAAUAAGGAUCGGCUAACUCCGUGCCAGCAGCCGCGGUAAUACGGAGGAACCGAGCGUUAUCCGGAUUUAUUGGGUUUAAAGGGAGCGUAGGUGGAUUGUUAAGUCAGUUGUGAAAGUUUGCGGCUCAACCGUAAAAUUGCAGUUGAAACUGGCAGUCUUGAGUACAGUAGAGGUGGGCGGAAUUCGUGGUGUAGCGGUGAAAUGCUUAGAUAUCACGAAGAACUCCGAUUGCGAAGGCAGUUCACUGGACUGCAACUGACACUGAGGCUCGAAAGUGUGGGUAUCAAACAGGAUUAGAUACCCGUGUAGUC
rnacentral:rRNA from 1 species